GCAAGCAUAAAAUUAGCGAAUGGGACUAAAAAACAGUCAACAUGGAAUUAAAAUUAAAACCGAAAAUCUACCGUAUCAAUUCAUAAAUUAUUGGUCCACCAUGGACCAUUUUGUCUUCAUGCGACUCACAAGGAUCCAUAACCAAUGGUUUAACGUGAGGUCUCCUGUGGGUUCACAGCAACAUAAGCUGUGAUGUGAUACUUUGGGCAUUGGUUCAAAUGUAGCAAGCGGGAAGCGGGCAUGACAGUUUUUUUUCCCGCGGGCUUCGCUGGACCUUGACGCUGACGAGCAACAGCUGGGUGACACGCGCGGACAAAGAAAGAGGGGAGCACAUGGAGAAAAAGGAAAUCAUUUUAGAAAAAAAUAUCCCUUUUCAUCCGCUUCAUCUCAUCCAUCCAAGUCUCUUUAUCACUUCAUCUCAUCCAUCUAUUUUUUUAGGAUGCAUCCUUUCAUUAGUCCCACAUCUAAAACAAUAAAAACUUCCUUCCUACCUACACCUAUAAAUAAAGCCUAAUGACUCUACUUUGAUGGAUCUCUCUCUCCACACCAUAAUUCUUAUAGGGGGUCGUGUGACAGACAGGCAUAUCUAUCUUUUAAAUUUUUUUAGCCACAUUAUUUUUACUUUCUUCAAUGCUUCCAACAUACGAGAAGGAGAGUUAGCCAGAGGGUCAAGAGAGGGAGAGAAAUCAGAUUCUGUAAGAGAGUUUAUUUUAUUUUCUGUUCCCACUUCAAGCUUCGUUAUUGGCUUAGGAGUUAAAAAUUUUUGUAUCAGAAUUUUUAUUUAGCAAUAAAUUAGUUAUUUUUUUUAUUUAAUUUAUGUAAUUUUAAAUUUUGUAAUAGAGUAGUUUAAAUUUCUUCAUCUUUUAAUUUUGUAAUUUUUAAUUUUUGUAAGUUAAAUUUCAGUAAGUAAAAUAAGAUUUUAUUUUAUUUUUUUUAAGACUUUAAAUCAACUAUGUCUGGUUAAGUAAUCCUUUUGGGAUUUGCGAUGAAGCUAGAUUAUAAAUAGAAGUCCUUUUCUUUGAAUUUCUCUUUUUGAGCUUUUAAUUUUUAGAGACCUUCUCCCUUCAUCUCUCUUGCCAAGAGACUUGAUGGGCUAUCGUUGGAUCAGAAUCCCUUCAUAGUCCAUGCUUUAUUCGGUGCAAGAGGGGAUAAUUGGUAGAAGGCUCACAAAUUUUUAAACUCUUUUUUCUCUUUCCGUAUGGAAACUUUGAUGGGUUAUAGUUGGAUUAGAAUUCCUACAUAGCCCAUACUUGGGCAACACAAGAGAAAAAAGAGAAAGAAAAAAAUCUCUUAAUUAGGGUGAAAGCGAAAUGCUUGAUGGAUCAUAGUUGAGUUAAAUCUCUUCAUGAUUUAUGCUUAUUCAUGUUUUACACCUUAAUCAAGGGACAUUAUAAGAGAAACCAUAGGAAGGCUCUCUAAUUCAUUGGUCUAGUGGAUUCAAAAGUUUCAGAUCUUUUAGAUAAUUUAUCUUUUAUUUAAUUAAUUUAUUGCUUUGAUAGUUCAUAAUUCAAUAAACAAUCUCUUCUUUUUUUUCUUUAAAGCUCGCCUAAGCAAGUAUUUGAAUACAUUUUUAAAUUCAAUUUCUUAUGCAAUCGACCCAUACUCAUCAGACAUGCUACAUUGCACACCGUGCACUUGCGGUAAAUUUAAGAUAAAUCAAGUUUUUGGUGCCAUUGACAGAGAGUUGGCAUGUUUAAAUUGUGUUUCAAAUUCUUGUUCUUCAUGCUUUUAAUUUUUGUUUUACUAAUUCUUUUCUGUCUUCUUUUAGUUAUUUUAGUUAAAUCAAAAUAUGCUCUGACAUAAGGUUAUCUUGGCAUAACAGAAAGUUAUGUUAUAUGGAUAUCCUAGGAUAGAUUUUGAUUUGCAUUUUUAAAAAAAUUUAUUACCUUUAAUUCUCAGAUUUUUUUUUAAUUGCUGCUUUAUUUGCUUAGUUGAUUUUUUGCCUUUAAUAUAGAUUAGAUUUCUCAUAUUAUAUUUAGAUUGCAUAAAUUUUCUUUUCUUAUUAGUUGAUUUAAUUUUUUUUAGUUCGAUCUCCUCAUUUUUUUCAUAACUCACUGAUGUAUUCAAAACUUAACAUUUACUUUGGUUUAUGUAAUUAGAUUAACAUAAAAAAAAAAUACUAAUCAUAUAAGAUUUAACUAAUAUAAAGAAACACCUAAACUUUAAAAACCUUCCAUUUUAUUUGGUUACCUUUUUUUUUUGUAUUGCAAUUUCAUAAUAUAUCUUAAGAGCAUCACCCAUUAAUUAGAUAAGGUGGGGAUUUGAUCACCCUUUCUUAGCCCGCAAACCAAAACCUUCACUUGCAUUAAUCCAAGCCCUAAAAUAAAAUCAAUUAGACGUCAAUCCCAGGGACAUUCGAGCUCAUUAGGAUAGGAAAACCUAAGAGUUGGACCGAAUUCAAGUUGGUUAGCCUGUCGGUAUCUAGGAAAGUGGUUCAAGAACUACGUUUCGAAGAAAGGUAGUUCUCUAAUUAAGUUCAUUGCGAAAGCACGGGAAACCUCCCACCAGUCUUAUACUUACCUGGCCGAUUCGGUUAGUCGAUUUCAAAUUUGGAGGCUUGAAGGUAACUUUGACAGUUAGGAGUUAUCUAGAAUUAGGAUAACCCUAUGUAGAGUUUUAAUUUAUUUGAUAACUUACUUGUUUUUAAAAGUUAAACUUAACUAAAACUCUCUUAUCUAUCGGUCUAGGACCCCUUAGGACUCUCAUUUCUAGAACUCUUCUUUUUCUUCUCCUUUUCUCUCAUAUAUUAAAAUAAAAAAGUAAAAAAAUUAAAAAAAUUUUUACUGGGAUAAAAUGACGAUUGUCAGACACAAUCUAAAGCCUACAAGCCUAUAAGAUCACUGAGAAAAAAAUAGAUUCCAAUAGACAACCUAGAACCCUGCUGGAUUUAUGUUAUCCGAUUAGUUUUGUCCAAUCGUCUAGAAUUGGAUCCUCAGCUAACAAUUUUACAAUUGACUCUCAAACGAUUAACAUGCAUCCUAUAUUCACUGAAAUUGAAGAUGCAUAUGUUUAUUCAAGAAAAUUUGAAGAUACUAGAAUUGCAACUUUGACCAAUAGAAUUGAAGCCUUAGAAUUCGAAAGAUAUAUCCAAUUUAACCAAGUGCUAGCACCCAUGUGUAUUGGAUGCGAUGCACCAGAUCAUGUUGUGGAGGAGUGUCCUUAUUUGAUGAAUCCAACCCAAACUGAGUUCAUACAGGAGAGUGCACUAAAUGAAAGCUAGAUAAAUGAACCUUAUACACCAAUCUAUAACCCAGGGUUGGAAAGUCAUCCUAAUUUUACAUGGUCACAAGAUGCAAUAUUAGGAGCCCACAAUUUUUAUCAAUCUUAUCUAAGGCCCAACCAAACACUGAAUGAUCAACCAGGUUUAGAUCCUGAGGAAAGAGUCAAUACAUUAGAAAAGAGUUUAGAUAUCUUAGCACAAUCAACUUUAGACAUUAAAAAUACUCUCAAUAAUUUCAUGCAAACCACUAAUCAGUUAUUUAAACAAUUGGGCCGAUCAGCUAUAGCAGUUAGUAAAGUAGAAGAGGGUAGAUUACCAAGCCAACUAGAGGUUGACCCUAGAACUCAGAAUGGUCUAGAACUUGAAGACCAGUUCGAUCAGUUGAGAACGUUCAGGUCUGAGAAACUGGAGGAGAUACCUAAAGCUGAUAAUAAUAAUGAGGUAUUCAUACCUAGUGACCAUUACACUCAGCUAAAACCAAAAUUAGUUGUUGAACCUCUCAUGACACUAAUUGAACCUCUGCUUAAAAAGGAAGAGGCAACAAUAGGAGAUCCAGAAACACUCCCUCAGCACAUCGAGUACAUAGAUCUAUGUUUCUUAAAACCCCGAUUAGUACUUAAGUUAUACUUAGAUCUAAUUAUAGAGAAAGAAUUGUUAGUUAUCAGGAGAAUGAGUCAUAUAAUGGUCCCAAAUAGAAAAUAUCUUAAGGAAGAGUCCGAAUCAUGUAGAAAAUUAUAGACCCAUGUUAAGAUUUGGGCAGGAAUAAAAUAAACACUCUUUUAGCGUCUGGCUGAAGACGUUAAACUUAGUGCUUGUUGGGAGGCAAUCCAAUCUUUUAGGUAUAGCUUUAAUAAAAAAUCAUCUUAAUAAAAGUCUGGCUAAAGACGUUAAACUUAGCACUUCUGAGAGACAACCCAAUUUUUUUAAACUAAUAUCUUUUCUAUUGAAUAAAUAGAGAUACCCAUCUUCAGGUUUCAAACUUUCAAGCCAACAUCACAUCAGAUCACUUUCGACAAAGGACACAUUCAUCAGGUGACAUUUUUCUUUUUUUUGCAUUGCAUGUUCUUUCCUCUAUUAGAGAUAAUGAUAUUUAAGUUGUGGAGUAGAAAAAAUCUUCUAAAAAUAUUAAAAAAAAAUAUCUUUUGAAAAAUCUUUAAAAUUAAAAAAAAAAUCUUUUGAAAGAAAACUUUCAACAAAAUAUGUGCCAAGAAAGAGAAUCUUGAGCAAAAUAGACUAGGAAAAGAAUAAUAAGAGUUAAAAAGUAUUUGCUAAUGACUGUACCGAGUUAAGAAGUAGAUUAGUUAGGCAGACUUUAACAACUUACUUAGAUCACCUAAAGGCUUUUAGCACUUCUAACUACAUAUGCACACUGAUAAGGCAAAAUAGGUACUAUUUGUAAGACUAACUGAGGAUUCAAUUAUCACUUAAAAUUAGUGAUUGAUAUACACUCCAAUCAAAAAUUUAAAUUUAAGGAAAGAACUACCUAUCUAAAAUAAAAGUACAAAAUAAAGAUAUAUGUGGAUUGCCCUAAGCUUAGUAAUUAAAUCUUUGCACCUAAAUUAAGUAUGGAGGUUCAUAUCAAACAAUGAAAGAAAAGUUAGGAUGCUCAGCACUAAAAUAAAAGAAACUAAAAAAGAGAGAGAGAGAAAAAGAAGACAGUGUGAAAGCUUUCUUAAGUUCAUGAAUUUUAUUUGGGAGUACAUAAAAAAUUAAUCAAAAUAAGAUGAUAAGAGAAGAUACAUUUGUCUUUUAUAAGUCAGCACUCAAAUGCUAAGUUUGUCAUUACAAACACAAGUGUUGCAGAUUUUUAAAUGUAUUCUAAAGAAGUUUCUGAUUGUACUAAUUAUAAAAUUUAUUUCUAAUNNNNNNNNNNNNNNNNNNNNNNNNNNNNNNNNNNNNNNNNNNNNNNNNNNNNNNNNNNNNNNNNNNNNNNNNNNNNNNNNNNNNNNNNNNNNNNNNNNNNNNNNNNNNNNNNNNNNNNNNNNNNNNNNNNNNNNNNNNNNNNNNNNNNNNNNNNNNNNNNNNNNNNNNNNNNNNNNNNNNNNNNNNNNNNNNAAGGAACUCGCAAUAAAUAAGUUGGGAGGUGAGAUAAGUGUAUAAAUUUAUCUAUAGAAAUAUUAAUUUAUGGAUCAAAUUAUCUUUAUUCUUUUAAAAUUGAUACUUCUUUAUAUAUUUUAUAGAAAAGAGAUGUACCAACAUGAAGAGCCCGAUCUGUAGGCUUAAAAAGAACGAAUGGGAUAAAAAAAAUAGAGUCAAAAUAAAAUUAAAAUCAAAGCCGAAAAUCUAUCGUAUCAAUUCAUAAAUUGUUGGUCCACCAUGGACCACUUUGUCUUCGUGCGGCUCACAAGGAUAUAACCAAUGGUUUAACGUGAGGUCUCCUGUGGGUUCACAGCAACAUAAGCUGUGAUGUGAUACUUUGUGCAUUGGUUCAAAUGUGGCAAGCGGGAAGCGGGCAUGACACAGCUUUUUUUUCGCGCGGGCUUCGCUGGACCUUGGACGCUGAUGAGCAACAGCUGGGUGACACGCGCGGACAAAGAAAGAAGGGAGCACAUGGAGAAAAAGAAAAUUAUUUUAAAAAAAAUAUAUCUUUUCAUCCUCUUCAUUUCAUCCAUCCAAGCCUCCUUACCACUUCAUUUCAUCUUUCCAUUUUUUUAGGAUGCAUCCUUUCAUUAGUCCUAUAUCUAGAAAAAUAAAAACUUCCUCCCUACCUAUACCUAUAAAUAAAACUUAAUACCUCUACUCUGAUGGAUCUCUCUUUCCAUACCAUAAUUUUUGUAGGGGGCUCAUGUGACGGGUAGGUAUACCCAUCUUUUAAAACUUUUUAGCCACUUUGUUCCCACUUUCUUCCAUCCUUCCAACACACGAAAAGGAGAGUUAGCUAAGGAGAGGUUGGUCCUAAGUC
rnacentral:lncRNA from 1 species